UGAGUAACACGUAUCCAACCUGCCGUCUACUCUUGGACAGCCUUCUGAAAGGAAGAUUAAUACAAGAUGGCAUCAUGAGUUCACAUGUUCACAUGAUUAAAGGUAUUCCGGUAGACGAUGGGGAUGCGUCCCAUUAGAUAGUAGGCGGGGUAACGGCCCACCUAGUCUUCGAUGGAUAGGGGUUCUGAGAGGAAGGUCCCCCACAUUGGAACUGAGACACGGUCCAA
rnacentral:rRNA from 1 species